rnacentral:lncRNA from 1 species
UGCUUAUUAUAUAUGUACUAAAUAAGAGAAUUCUAGCUCCUUUGACUUAAAGAAAUCUAAUCUAAGUCUUUAUCUAACAUUAAACAGUGAUAUCCAUGGUCAAUAUCUAGAAACAAUUACUGGUAAAGAACAUUGAGAUUCUGUGAAACUAAUUCUAUAUCUGUCAUUAUCAUUCAUUUAUUUGCAUGCCUAAGCUCAAUUGUGUCAAUACUCCCUAAAUGUUUUUCAUUAGAAUUUCAUCUAGGUCCUACACUUUCCUUAUUAAAUAUGUGUGUGUAUGUGUAUUCAUGUAUGUGUACGCACACACAUAUAUAUAUAUAUAUGUAUCUGUGUGUAUAUAUAUAUAAUAAAAAGCAGAUGCUCAUAGAUAUUAUGUGAGUUGGAUGAGGUCAUAUGACUUGCCCAAGGUCAUGAGAAAAGGUUGACUAAAUGAAAAUUAGGGAUGUUACA